AGUGAACGCUGGCGGUAGGCCUAACACGUGCAAGUCGAACGGCAGCACAGUAAGAGCUUGCUCUUACGGGUGGCGAGUGGCGGACGGGUGAGGAAUACAUCGGAAUCUACUUUUUCGUGGGGGAUAACGUAGGGAAACUUACGCUAAUACCGCAUACGACCUACGGGUGAAAGCAGGGGAUCUUCGGACCUUGCGCGAUUGAAUGAGCCGAUGUCGGAUUAGCUAGUUGGCGGGGUAAAGGCCCACCAAGGCGACGAUCCGUAGCUGGUCUGAGAGGAUGAUCAGCCACACUGGAACUGAGACACGGUCCAGACUCCUAAGGGAGGCAGCAGUGGGGAAUAUUGGACAAUGGGAGCAAGCCUGAUCCAGCCAUACCGCGUGGGUGAAGAAGGCCUUCGGGUUGUAAAGCCCUUUUGUUGGGAAAGAAAAGCAGCAGGUUAAUACCCCGCUGUUCUGACGGUACCCAAAGAAUAAGCACCGGCUAACUUCGUG
rnacentral:rRNA from 1 species